rnacentral:rRNA from 1 species
UGAGUACGAGAUGCUACGGCAUCGAAGCAGUCUAUGUCAUACUUCCAAGAAAAGCUUGCACUGUCAGAAACAGAUAAUGCCUGUACCAUAACCGACACAGGUGGGUAGGUAGAGUAUACUAAGGGGCGCGAGAUAACUCUCUCUAAGGAACUCGGCAAAAUGACUCCGUAACUUCGGGAGAAGGAGUGCCUUAUUUUUAAGGUUGCAAUAACAAGAUCCAAGCAACUGUUUACCAAAAACACAGGUCUCCGCUAAGUCGUAAGACGAUGUAUGGGGGCUGACGCCUGCCCAGUGCCAGAAGGUUAAAGAAGUCGGUUAGCAUUCGCGAAGCUGGUAACUGAAGCCCUGGUGAACGGCGGCCGUAACUAUAACGGUCCUAAGGUAGCGAAAUUUCUUGUCGGGUAAGUUCCGACCCGCACGAAAGGCGUAAUGAUUUGGAUACUGUCUCGGAGAGGGGCUCGGUGAAAUAGACUUGUCUGUGAAGAUGCGGACUACCUGCACCUGGACAGAGAGACCCUAUGAAGCUUUACUGUAACUUGAAAUUGAAAUUGGACUUUAUUUGCGCAGUAUAGGUGGGAGGCGUUGAAAAUAUUCUUGCGGGAAUAUUGGAGCCAUCAGUGAGAUACCACUCUUGUAAUGUUAGAUUUCUAACUUUAUAUCAUUAUCUGGUUAAAGAACAGUUUCAGGCGGGCAGUUUGACUGGGGCGGUCGCCUCCCAAAUGGUAACGGAGGCGCACAAAGGUUUCCUCUGAACGGGUAGAAAUCGUAUCUAGAGUGUAAAGGCAUAAGGAAGCUUGACUGUGAGACCUACAAGUCGAGCAGGGACGAAAGUCGGUCUUAGUGAUCUGACGGGCUGAGUGGAAAGGCCGUCACUCAGCGGAUAAAAGUUACUCUAAGGAUAACAGGCUGAUCUCCCCCAAGAGUUCACAUCGACGGGGAGGUUUGGCACCUCGAUGUCGGCUCAUCGCAUCCUGGGGCGGUAGUACGUCCCAAGGGUUGGGCUGUUCGCCCAUGAAAGCGGUACGCGAGCUGGGUUCAGAACGUCGUGAGACAGUUCGGUCCAUAUCCGGUGUAGGCGUUAGAAUAUUGAGAGGAGCCUUCUUUAGUACGAGAGGACCGAGAAGGACAUACCUCUGGUGUACCAGUUAUCGUGCCAACGGUAAACGCUGGGUAGCUAUGUAUGGAGUGGAUAACCGCUGAAAGCAUCUAAGUGGGAAGCCCACCUCAAGAUAAGUAUUCC